rfam:Arabis alpina cultivar Pajares Aa.chr4_contig_2864, whole genome shotgun sequence.
CAUAGGCAGUGGCUUGGUUAAGGGAACCUACCGGAGCCGUAGCGAAAGCGAGUCUUCAUAGGGCAAUUGUCACUGCUUAUGGACCCGAACCUGGGUGACCUAUCUAUGACCAGGAUGAAACUUGGGUGAAACUAAGUGGAGGUCCGAACCGACUGAUGUUAAAAUCAGCGGAUGAGUUGUGGUUAGGGGUGAAUCAUGCUGCCUCUGCCCGAGCCCUUCCCGCGUGCCAUAAAUGACCCACGAAUAGGAAG